AAUGAAUUUACGGCAUUUAAAAUCGAAUUAUGUAAUGAAUAAGUACAAAUGUGUCUCCCAAAUGAGUUUGUGUGCAAGAAAUUGUGUUCAAAUAUGUUCAGGGGAAUAAUCCAUAGGGGAUCUGCUAGCUGUGGAACAGUUAAUUUCCUAAACUAUUUAGAGAAAUGCGAUUGGAAAAAGACUUUGUAGUUUCAGGAUAGGGUUUCUUCUAAAGAUGCCCUUCUACUGAUUUAAAACGGUUGAGCUGUAUAAGCUAAUCUGGAUGUCAAUUUUGAAGGGUAUUAUAACCUAAGCCAUAUUCUGCAGGACGACGCUCAGCAGUAGCUACACGUUGCUGGUCCACAACUAUGCCGGUCAGCGGGUGCUGCUUCUUCAUGUCUCUGCUUCCUACUUAGUGUUCCCGGGCUCCAUUGCAUCGGUCAUCUCCCCUGCUGGUCUCCUGGUGCACCUACCUCUGUCAACCAAGUUGAGCUUUACCCAAGCCGAUGGCCAACCCACAAUCUGUUAGCUCUGAAUAAUGGUGCCAUUAACUUGGAGGAGCUGCAAAAGCACCAUGUGGCCAUUAAUGAAAAAAAAUUCAGAAACAAGGAAACUAGCCGAACACUGCUUGCGAAAACCGGAUGAAAUCAGAUUAAUUGUUUUGGUCUUCUAGUUGAACUAAUGUUGGAUAAUAAAGUGUAGAUUGACUCACGCGACUUCCUCUUCCAUCCAGUUCCGAUUUCUGAGGGCUCGACACCUCUAUCAUGAAUAGCAGCCAUGGCUCUCCAUGCCGGAGGUGUAGCUCAUCGAGGCCACCUCUGGCGAUAAGGUGGUGAAAGAAAAGCAAUUAUACCAUGCACGGGAUGAUCCAUCGUAUGUUCUUGCUUUAAGACACUUUAUUUCAAAUUUGUCUUGCUUCAAAUUGUUAUUUUAGAAUUUUCUUCCUGUUUCAAAGUGCAUCUUAAUUAAUGGUUCGUCAUCUAUCUGCAAAUAUGGUCCAAAAUAAGUUCAUUCCUUUUUACAGAUGCACAAUGAAGCAUGAUGAUACAAGAUAAAACAAGAGAAGAACUGAACAUAACAUUUCAAAACAAGAUAAAUUUUGAAAACGAAUUAAAAAGUAGCAUAAAUCUCAAAGCAAUCGCAAACGAUAGAUGCAUGCAUGGGAUAUCCACGGUCAGCUAGGUUUCCAUUGGAGUUGCUAAUAGCGACCGCAUGCCGGUAAGCGGAUCCAUGUGUCGAAAGGGUAUAUUGUGCCAGAUUUUUUGACGUAACUUGGGAUUCUAAUGUCCUCUAAAAGAGAUCCUCAGUGAUAUUUUUGAAGGACAACAAUAUAAGCCUCAUCCCACCGGUAAAUUUCAGGGAUACGAACCAUUCCUUUGUACCAACUAAGAAGAUGGCUG
rnacentral:lncRNA from 1 species